UGAGGUCUCACAGAGUUACUAGAUGAGAAGGUCAUUUUAAAAAUUACUUAGAGUUACUGCAGGGUUCUUGUAAAAAAUAAAUGGAAAAGAGGUGAUAGGAGGGAAAUCUAGGACUGGGUCACCUGGAAUCCCAGCAGGUUUGACAUAAGUGUGCACACAGUCUCUGAAUACUGCUGACAGGCACAAAGGCGGUCAGGGAGGCAUGGAUUCUUCUCCUGGCUCUGCCUGUAAGAUAUGUUGUAUUCACGGGAAGGUACCUGGACAACUUCUCAGGUAAGAAUGUUCUUUUGUUUCCCAGAUACAUUGUGGGGAUUGAGAGAUAGAGAAUAGUAAAAUGAUAAUACGGGUCUAAAUCACUCUUUUAAACAGCAUGAUGGGAGCAUACCUGUUUUGGGAUUCUAAUCAUGACUUAGAAAGUGCUGUGCUGCCUGGAUUUGGAAUUGGUUUCAGGGUGAAGAGAGUUUGAAGUUCACUAAAGAUAUCAAAAAUGAUAUAUAAUGGCUGGAAGUUGGCUAUGAAUGAUUUAGGUUCAAGUUAAAUAUUGCAGGAUGAGACUGAAGUCUAUGGCAUAUCAUAUUUCAUUCAAUUUGAGAUACUAUUCACUGUAAUAUGCACCAAUACUUUACGUACGAGCAAGAAAGAAAGCCCAUUGGCAAUUAUAAUUCCAAGACACUUUUGCUUGUGCUAUGUAUUUGGAUUUUUGAAAAUUAAAAUGUGAAAAUAUAUGCUUCUUAGAAACAAAAACUAAAAAAUAUAUGUUUGUACACACAUGUUUUUUCUUUAUACACACACACACACACGUUACUACUGAUCAUCUCAUGUUCACCAAAAGCUAAGUGAGUCCAAAACUAAAGUCAAUAUAUCUGCCCCUAACUUUGUUCUCUUCUCCUCCUUCUUUUUAUGCUGAAUGGCCCUGCUCUUUUCUCAGUAGCUUGACUCACUUCUCUCUCUCACUCCCCAUACCUCACUAGUCAUCAAGUUCUUUGGCUUCCUCUAUUCUCUUUGCUCUGUUUAUUUUUGCUCCUUUCCCCAUUAUCUGACUAACUUUACCUCACCUGUCAGACUCCACCUUUGAUGUUGAAAAACAUGCUGAAAUGUGCCAAGUCCAGAUUAGUAGGUCCCUCGAGCUCCCGCAUCUACUGAGCUCCUAUAUUUCUAUUCACAACCCUUAUCCCAAGUUGUACUCAAUUGCUUCCCUGUCUGUACCUACCACUAAACCACAAGUUCCUCGGCAACAAGGAAUGUCAGUCUGCUUCACAGUUGUGUUCCUAGAACCAAGAACGGUGCCUCAUGUGGAUCAAUUGUACAAAACUCAAUGAUGAAUCAAUUUUAGUUUAGAUUUUAAAAAAUAAAAGUGAUUUGGUUUUCAGAUAUUAUAAAGAGGAAUACAUGAAAAUAGCAUUCUCAAAUUGAAAGCGGUCCAAAGAAAAACAGCACAAUGUUGAGCAAAAGAGCAAUCAUUUAAGUCAAAUAAAAGCUAACUAAAUGCACUAAAUUUCUAAUACAUGUAAAGUGUUCAUUUUAUCCAUUUUUGCCUUCAUGCCAGACACAUACUGUAUAUCACAGUCAAGAAAGUUUUAUUUUAGCAGUUUAAUUGUGUUUCCUAACUCUCAGCUACCCUUUUCAUCUUUUGGGAAAAUGAUCAGUAACCUACAUUGAUUGUAUUUCUGCUUCUGUAGGACAAGAGGCUCUUAAUGGAACCUGUGAUGGCUUUGGGUCAGAGAAUGAAGAAUGCCAGUCUAUUUCUUUCCAAGAUUUUUUUUAAAGGAAAUAUAAAAGGUUAACUAUCUUUCUUGAAGAGCUUGCCUAAAAAUGAAGUUGAAGUCAUUAUCAAUGGACUACAUAAUUUUACUCUACAGACAUUCUUCUAUCAGAUGUAUGACAAUUAGAAAGUUUAUAAAGUAGAAAUCUCAAGGUGUCUAGAAUUUAAAUUUCUUUAAUUUUAUAUACUAACUCAGGAAUAUGGAGUAAAUCCAUUAAUUUAUGAGUAGCAGCUUCCUGUAAACACAGGUGAUAAUAUAUGACUUUUAUAUGUAUUAAAAGUAAAAGUAAAUGAGAUUUUAAAUUUUUAAAAAUUCUUUAGUUUGUCAGGUGAAGUUCAUGACACUUAAACAUGUAAAACAAAGGAAACAUAACAAAGUAAAACAAAGCCUAAUGUUACACCAGAAACACAAUAAAACUCUUUAUUUUAGUUAGAAAACAGAAUUCAGGGAUGCUUAGGGGGCUCAGUUGGUUAACCAUUGGACUCUUGAUUUCGGCUCAGGUCAUGAUCUCAUGAUUUUUGAGUUCAAGCUCUGUGUCAGGCUCUGCACUGACAGCGUGGAGUCUUUUUGGGAUUUUCUCUCUCCCUCUCUCUCUGACCUUCCCCAGUUCAUACUUUCUCUGUCUCAAAAUAAAUAGACAUUAAAAAUUUUUUAAAAGGAAAAAAGAAUUCAAAUUUCCCAGCUAUAUUUUGUAAUAUUUUGUAUAUUUUGUAUAUAUAAGGCAUUAUGUAAUGUAUAAUGUGACUUUUUUCAAAAUCAAGUGGGAUUUAUACCAGUAGUUCAUAGUGAUUUUUUUCCAAAACAAAUUAAGACCUAAAUGGCAUAUUGAAUAACCAAUACCUCUCAUGAGAGUCCCUUAAUGUAAGAUGCUGAAAAAUCGUAGAAUACAAUAGUGACAUAUACAGAAGGUAUGUCAGAAUAGGAAGUCUGCAUGAAAAAAUUCUGCAGAGAUAAUCAGCGGACACAAAUUUAUUGCUGCUUACUUGUAUAGUCACCUUGGUUUCUUCAUGCAGCAAGUUUUAUCCUCAGUGUUCUACUAAGACUGAAGAGAUAGAAUGGUAUGAAACAGUUAAAAGUUCUCCUUAAAAAAAAAAAAGUUCUUUUCUUCCUGAUUCAACAUGACAUUUUUUUUCUCAUUUGUAACAUGAUAGAUAUUUCUGUCCUUUGGGUAAAGUAUUUGAUUGAACAUUUAAGUUACUUUUUUAGAUCUUCAAUUUUCACUGAUUCAUCUCAAUAAUACCUUGGCUUUUUCACCUCUCACAGCUCCUAGCUUUAAUAUAUCCCAACAUUAUAGGUAACAAAAUCACAAAAAUCGCUUUGUGUACUGUAUUAUUGAGAACUAUAAAUGGUCUUAGAGAAUCCUUAGCUGAAAAUCAAAUUUUCUUUUAAUAUUAAAUCAUGAGUAUUUGCCAUGCUUUAAUUAAAUACUUCAGUUCCUCGUACAUGCUAAAUAUUGGAUGGACAUUGCUGGUUGACACAUUUAUGUGAGAUCAAUUUUUAAAUUAUUUUAAGAUUAAAGUCACACAUAGAUUUGAUUCCCUCUUUUUAUGAGAAUUCCAAAUUUCCAAUAAGAGUACUGGAUGAUGUAAACUCUUUAGUUUCCUAAAUUGUAUUCGUCAAUGAUUCUAAUAUCUGGGUGCCAUAACCAAUGCAUUCAUGAGUGAUUGAGUGGAGAUCAGGAUUUUACAGCUAAUCCCAUUUGUGCUUGUAGGUCUUGUACACUGAUAUAAGGAAGGAACCAUAACAACUUUCUAUGUUGAAAACUGUAGAUUCUUACUUGGGUAUGACCCCUCAGGUUCCUAAAAAAUUGUGUCAGCUUUGCCUAAAGAAAUAAAAAUUCAGGUUUGUCCAUACUAUGCUUAAAGAAUUGGAUUAAGAGUAGAAAAUGCAACUACUUUUUCUUUUUCCAAAUCACUUUUUAACAUAAGAAUAAUUUAUUUAUUAUGUUAAUUACUCACUUUGUCUCUCCUCUUUAAAAUGUAAAUUAUAAAAGUAGUGAAAUAAUUAUCUAUUUUGUUCAUGGUAUACCCAAGAACCUGAAAAACUACUAGUCUCAUGAUAAGCACCCAAUACAUUAAAAUAUAUAUAUAUAUAUAUAUAUAUAUAUAUAUAUAUAUAUAUAAAGAGAGAGACAGAGACAGAGAGAGAGAGAGAGAGCAGGGGAAGGGCAGAGAGAGAGAGAGGGAGAGAGAGAAUCCCAAGUAAGCUCUGUGCUUUCACCACAGAGUCCAAUGCAGAGAUCGAGCUCACAAACCUGAGCCAUGACCCGAGAUCAUGACCUGAGCCAAAAGCAUGUGUCGGACGCUUAACCAACUGAGGCACCCAGGUGCCCCAGCACCGAAUACAUUUUUUAAAUAUAUAAAUGAUCUUUAACUUAUUAAAAAUAAGCAUAAGUAUUAUUAGCUCAAUGCACAGAUAGAAUGAGAACACAAAAACUCCUUGAUCAAAUAUUUAUACCUACUAGGUAGCCUGAGCUAAAAUUUAAAUCCCAAUGUGUGUGACUCUUUAGUCUUUGCUUUCUACUAUACCACCCUUCUAUCUAAUAAGGAAGCACAAGAGAGAUCCUUUAUUGUCCGAAAGAAAGUCACUCAAACAAUAGAUCUUAUAUUUUGGAAUAAAAAAUUCCAUAGUAUAAUCUUUUCUUCUCUGCUUCAACUAUUUACAUUGUGAUUACAUUAGUAGUACAUAAGUUAAAGAAAGGAGAUUGUGGGGCGCCUGGGUGGCGCAGUCGGUUAAGCGUCCGACUUCAGCCAGGUCACGAUCUCGCGGUCCGUGAGUUCGAGCCCCGCGUCAGGCUCUGGGCUGAUGGCUCAGAGCCUGGAGCCUGUUUCCGAUUCUGUGUCUCCCUCUCUCUCUGCCCCUCCCCCGUUCAUGCUCUGUCUCUCUCUGUCCCAAAAAUAAAUAAACGUUGAAAAAAAAAAAUUUAAAAAAAAAAAAAAGAAAGGAGAUUGUGAUGAAACAUGGAAAAGAAUAGAUCAACUUGGCAAAAAAAAGGGAGGAUGGGACAGGAUGAAAAAAAUAUAAUGGAAGAAAAAGCCAGAGUGUUUAAUAGAAAUUGUUCCCCAAAACUGUAUAUGUUCUAAUUUUUGUAAGACUUGGGAUAGCUCCCACUCAUGAGCUGUCCAUAUAUUAUUUUUUCUUAUUAUUUCUGAGCUAUUACCAAUCUUCCAUUUUGUCAUGUGCCAGAAAAUGUAAAGAUACAAUUAAAUAGAGCUCGUUUGCUACUCUCCUCAGAAAAUAAUUGGAGGGAACAUUCUUUUUUUUUUUUUUUUUAAUUUUUUUUCAACGUUUAUUUAUUUUUGGGACAGAGAGAGACAGAGCAUGAACGGGGGAGGGGCAGAGAGAGAGGGAGACACAGAAUCGGAAACGGGCUCCAGGCUCUGAGCCAUCAGCCCAGAGCCUGACGCGGGGCUCGAACUCAUGGACCGCAAGAUCGUGACCUGGCUGAAGUCGGACGCUUAACCGACUGCGCCACCCAGGCGCCCCUGGAGGGAAAAUUCUAUUGGCUUAUGAAUGAGAACUGAAAUAAAUUGUACCUGGUUUAUAUGGUUUACCAAUAUUAAAAAGUAUUACAUAGAGAUGAUUUUCAUAAUAAAUAGAAUUUAUUUAGUCAUAAAAUGUUGUCAUUCCACACCACUUUAUUAUCUAGGUUUGCUUUCCACCAGCCCACGAACAAAGACUAUUUUUCAUAGUAAGAGCAUACAUAUGUCAGAAAAUAGACUGGCAUUUCAGUACUGGCUCUGUCAUGUUCUCAAUGUGUGGCCUCAAGAUGAUGCUGUAUGCUUUCUAAGGUUCUGUUUCCCCAGUUGUAAAGUGAGGUUAAUUUGUGUGUUUGCUUCAAAGAGAUACUGUGAAAAUCAAUAGGAGAUAAUAUUUUAAAAGUCGUUGGUAAACCCUUAAUAAAUGUUUUCAUUUUUCUUAUAUUGUGAUAUUGAUACACCUGCAUAUACUCUCUUUUUUCUCUCUCUCCCAUAAAUAUCACAGCAUAAGCUUAGGUCUUUAUAAAUAUAAGUUUGGGGACGCCUGGGUGGCUCAGUCAGUUGAACAUCCGACUCCUGAUUUCAGCUUAUGUCAUGAUGCCAGCCAGGGUCAUGAGAUCAAGCCCUGGAUUGGACUCUGCUGAGCAUGGAGCCUGUUUAAGAUUCUCUCUCCCUCACUUGUGCUCUCCUUCUCUCUCUAAAGAAAAAUAAAAUAUAUUAAUAAAUAAAUAUAAAUUUAACAUCAUUGUUGAUGGUGGUGGUCCUGUCGAUGUUGCUGGGUAUUUUUCCCAGAUAGUCAUAAAGUACUUGACAGAGUUAAAGGACUUUAAAAUGGACUUUACAAAAAGAAGCAGGAAAAAUAACUAGUGGACAAAUACUAGCUAGGGAAUUUCUUUAAAAGAGAGAUAUCUCAUUUUUAUGGCUCUCAUGAGUCAUCCUAAAUGGAUUACAUCCAGGCCGACAUUAAUUUGUAUGGUUCCUCUGCUGCACAGGGAAUAUAGCAGAUGGACUAUUAUUAUUCAUAUCCUUUACAAACAAUAACUGAUAAAUGCCAUUGGCAUUACAAGUUCUUUGGGAGUACGUAAGUUUAUAUAGUGUAAACUCAAAUAAAUCACUAGGGUUUCUAAGUAUUCAAAGUAUUACUGAGUAUUGGCCCAUAUUUCUCAUUGGUAUGGUAAAAGAAAAAAGAGACGGAUGUCAUUGAGAUAUAAGUUAGCCCCAUUCUAACUUUGGAUAAAAGAGAGCUUGUUAUUGAAAAUUUCAUUAUUUUCUUAUUGCUCAAUUCUUAAAACUUUUAUAUCAAGUCUGCUACUUUAAUUCAUAUUGAUCUCAAUUUAUUUCUCCAUUUAAUUUUCCACAACUAAUACUUUUCUUUAUUUCAAAUAAAUUUAGGUUUUUUAUAAAUACAAAAAAAUAUUCUUAGGUUCUUCUGCUAUGUAUCAUUGAUUACUAUAUUAAUAUAAACCUAUUUUUAUUUAAUUGAGUUGGUCUCCUUUGGUAAGUGUUCAGUAUCUAUCUCCUUGUAAUUAACAGUAUUUGGAGAGACCUUUGAGGUAAGAAUUCAAAUCUUCUUUAGAGACCCAGCUACAAAGAGAGGACUCCACCCGGAUUUUUGAGUGGCAGAAGGAGAGCACCCACCGGUGAGCAGCGUUCACCAGUGAACGUUAUGUGGAGGUACCAAGCAAUGGAAGGAUGUUAGCGGACUAAAUAAAAGGUAUUGACCAUAUCUUCCAGGAAAAAAGGGCUGGCUAUGAGAAAUGAAUUAUGAAGACUUAUUUGUGAAAAGUUAGUUAUCCAAAGAUAAGAUUCAAGAAGCUUAAGCCAGGGCAAAAAGUUUAACUCUGAAGAGUUAGUUUUUCAGAUAAGAGCCAUCUUGAAAAAAAUAAAAUAAUUAUUAUUGUCAUUCUCUCUUCAGAACUUAAAAUGUCACUACUAGGUUAACCUAUGGAAAAAUGAAGUGUGCUUUGUUUCCACGGAAUAUUUAAAUCAUCUGGUAACGUAUGCAACAGAAUCAAGUCUCCAUUCUUCUGGAGUCUUGUCUCCAGGGAAAUCAGCAGGAAGUGCUAUGUAUUUGUUCUUGUUUAUGGUGUCUUUAGCAAUUAAUUUUAAGUUUCAUUAAAAAAUUAAUUGUUAUAUGUAGAAUCUUGUCACUUAUUGACUAUCUAAAAAUUUUAUUAUUAACUAAAUUUUGAGGUAAAAUUCUUUUUUUUAAUGUUUACUUACUUUGAGAGACAGAGAGACAGUGAAUAGAGGAGGGGCAGAGAGAGAGACAGAGAGAGAGAGACAGAGAGAGAGAGAGAGAGAGAGAGAGAGAGAGAGAAACUCCCAAGCAGGUUCCAUGCUGUCAGCACAGGGCCUGAGUUGGAGUUCGAGCUCAUGAGCCUUAAAAUCAUGACCUCAGCUGAGAUCAAGAGUUGGGAGUCUCAAUCGACUGAGCUACACAGAUGUUACUAGCUAUUAUAAGUUAGAUUCUGGGGCGCCCGGGUGGCUCAGUUAACUGUCGGACUUCCGCUCAAGUCCUGAUCUCGUGGUCUGUAAGUUUGGCCCCGCAUCAGGCUCUGUGCUGACAGCUCAGAGCCUGGAGCCUGUUUCAGAUUCUGUGUCUCCCUCUCUCUCUGACCCUCCCCUGUUCAUGCUCUGUCUCAAAAGUAAAUAAACGUUAAAAAAAAGUAACAAAAAAUAAGUUAGGUUCUCUUGUUUUAUUUCAGGUAUUAUCAUUUUUUAAAAAUUCCUGAGUGAUACUAAAAGUGUAUUAAAGCAAAAAAAGUAGUAGGAUCUAUAAGGACUAUUUCCAUCUUGUUCUUCUGCUUUCCAUAGUCAAUUGCUAAUAAAUGUACUUUUAUUUAAUUAAAAGAGUGGCAGUUCAAUUAAUGUCGAGUCUAUUUUAAUAUGGAGAAAUGGUUAAAAAUAAUUUAGGAAAGAGUCUACAAAUUACUUGUGAUUAAGCCAAGAAUAGCACCGAGGCCUUUGGAUCCAUGGCUGUAUAAUCUGAUGCCCACGUCUAAUUUGUCUUACAUGUCACACUUUGUUUAAAUCACUUGUGCUAGUCAGGUGAGAGAGAGGUAUUCUGAGUUCUAAUUCAACUUUAUUGCUGAAUCAGCUGUUUCUUCAACGUUCUUCCUUAGGUAGAAGGAAUGCGUAUUUUCUGAUCACUGAGUCCGCAGAUGAGGCAUUAAGUUAGCAACUGAUGUAGAAAUUGCAUUUAAUUUUUUAAUAAAAAAUCAUCAAAUAUUUAGUGAAAACAUUAAAUGUGUAAAGUUAAAAAAUAAUAAAAUUAGGCUUUGCCUUAAUAAAGAGUAGUUUUAUACUGAGUCAUCCGGGUGGCUCUGUCAGUUGAGUGUCUGACUCUUGAUUUUGGCUCAGGUCAUGAUCCCAGAGUACAGUGCGAUUGAGCCCCACACCAGGCUCCUCGUGGAGCAUCAAGUCUGCUUCGGGUUCUCUCUACCUGUUCUUUUGGCCCUCCUCUGUUCGCAGGCACAUGCAUGCUCUCUCUCUCUCUCUCUCUCUCUCUCAAAAAAAGUAGUUUGGUACCAUUUACCUUUUGAGAGAACAGUGCAGGUAUUCCAACCUAGUCUCACGUCAUUGCUGCUUAACCUGGUAGCUUAUGUUCCAAUGGCAUCAUGGUGAAGGCUAUUCUCAGAGUGCAGCCUUAAAAAUAGUUUUGUGGGUUGAGGAGUGGGAGGGAGGAUCACACUGUUAUUACAACGCAGUCUGAAUCUGUGCUCCAAGGACAUGAGGUUGUUCUAAACCUGUGGUGGAAAAACCUGUGUGUUUUCCACAACAGAUGGGGAGUAGGAGGGGAAUAUUUUUUUCCUCGUGUGCUCCCUAUAACUAAUAUUGUUUAGAUGUGUGUAACAAACAAGCGCUUGAAGUGAAGUGGCAUCGUACCACCCACAUGAAUGAUUGAGGGUGAGGGUCGAUGCCAAGUCUGUUUUCUCUGCUGCUAUUUUAGUUGAGUGAGAAAGUGUUAUGUCACCACUGCAGGGCAAUACGCUUCAGGUAAGUUCUCUGCUUGCAGAGAUGAAGUUCAAUUUGAAUAGAGAGUACAAACAAGGUUACAGAGUUUCUAACUCCAGAGCUUGUGGCAACCCCUCUAAGAGUAAGACAAGAGUCUGUAUCCACACACAAGAAAGUAGGGAAUGUCUUUUAAAGAAGUUACUAGCAUUCAUCAUAUGUCUCCAUAUUAGCGGUAAUAUUUGGGAUGCAAGCUCUGUUUCUGCUGCCUAGUUCACUGCACUCUAUAAUUAGAGCUUCUCAUUGUUAGAGCGGUAACGCGGGAUUCAAAUAAACAACCUAGGAUUUUGACAUUUGUGGAAAAUAGUACUGAGAAAGCAUUACAAGAAAAUGAAUAUUAAAUAGCUAUAAGUGCAGUAUGAUCAACUUAGUCACCUACUGAAGAAAGUGAAUAAUUGCAUUUGUAAAAGCAAAUUACGAAGUGUGUGUGUGGGGGGGGGGACAGCCAGUUAAAAUACAGAUAAAUCACUUUUUAUCCCAUUGUUGCAGCACUCAGCUUUGGGACCUGAUCGUUUCAGAAAUUGUGGUGUCUCCUGAGAAGAAUUUCUUGCCAAGAGAGGGGUUAGCAUGCUAAAGCAGACAGUGUUUUGGAUUACUCUACAUAUCUUCACUAUAAAUAGGAUACUUUCGAAAUGCUGUUUUGAGCUAUUCAAGUGAGCUAGUGAUCAAAUGUGGCAGACUUCACAAUAAUGACGGACUGACAUAUGAAUAGGGGAAAGCCUCAUCAUUUCAGAUGGACAAGGCUUGAUGAAUUCAAAUGAUAACCUAUAAUCUUUAAUUUAAACUAGCUACCUAGCUGAUAAAGGUAAUGAUUUAUCAUGUGGCUUACUCAUUUACUGUUAAUCAACAGGAUUCACAUCUUUGAAAUCCCUAGCAUUCAGGAGCCUGUAAGAGGAUUCAUGCACGUGUUCUACUUUAUGCUACUGAUUUGCAAAACAAUGAGGCUGGUAAUGAUGUGAAAGAUUUAACUGGCUCUCCUUGUGUCUCCUCCAUCUGAACUGAUUGUUAUUUGUAAAGAGAAAUCUUCCGAAGCCUGUGGUUCCCACAGGAGGCUGAGCAGCCAGCCACUGGGUUGAGGAUGACAUCCUGUGUCAGGGAUCAGAAAUCAGCCAGUUAAUAGCUUUGCACUUAAAAUUGUCUAAUAUUUUUUCUUGUUAAAGGCCAAUUUUCUAACAUAUAAAGUCAUUUUCACAUCCUUGAUAUAUUGUAGACUGCAAGAUUCUUUGAAAAUAGCAGCGCUACUUUAAAUGAUUUCUUUCUAAAGCACAAUACCUUGCUAAAUAUUUUAUGCAUCAAAUCAUUUUAUAAUUUAGAUUUAUGUAAUCCAGACCCAAGAAACAAAACAAUUCUUGCCAGUAUUUAUAUUAGAGAUUGAGAUUGUGCUGUUAUUUUACAAAUGGUAUGUUGUAACAAGAUUUUGCUUUAGUAAAAUCAGGGCGAACCAAUUUUUUCUCCCAUUGUCAAAAGGCUAAUUUGUGCUGUUUCCAGUGAACACAAGUUAUUUUAAUUAGUUCAAGAAACAGUCAAUGUAGUCAUCAUUUUCAUUUUUUCUGGUUACAUAUAAGAACAUUUAAAUUAAAUCUCAAGUAUUAAGACAUGAAAAAAUAUUAUAAGUAGAUGUCCCCACACAAGUUUUGAGAAUUAAAAUUAUUUUAUCUAAUUAAAGAAAAACAAAUACAUUUCUGGCAAAAUAAAAAAAUUCAGGGGAAGGAUUUAAAAACAACAGGGACACAGUUCAGAAAAUGUUACUUUAUUUGUGCCCCUACAUACACACGCGCACACACACACUCAGAAACAUUCUCUUCCUUUCAAAAAUAUUUAGCUAAAAGUUGUUCCAGUGAUUAUAUACUUUGAAAGAGGAAGGACGGAAGGAGAGGAAGGAAAGUAGGAAGGACGGAGGGGAGGUAAAAAGAAAAAGAAAAAUAGCUGGAAAAUAAUGACAGCUUCCUAUUCCAAAAUUCAAAGUAGUAUCUCUUCACUUUCUAGCCAGAGAUGGGUCUUUUAUAAAGCAUGACUAAAACACUCUGUUCAUUAGUCGUUUAUCAAAACCUAGAACCAUUAAGGAAAAACAAACACAAAAAAUUUACAUCUGCCACUUUCUCCUCUUUCUCAUCUCUUCUUCCUCCCUUCCUACACAGCUUCUGUGUUUGUGUUUCAGUUUCAUAAUCCCUCCAUUGUGAAUUGAGAACAUGUUGUUGGCAGGUCUCCUCACUUACAGGGUGCAAGAUACAUUGGCCUCAGUGACACUGAGUCAGAACCUGCUCGGUUGCUACGAUUGCUAGUAAAUACCAUCACUCUCGAAGCAAGCAAGAGUGAAAACCAGAAACAACAGCAGGUGCUGUAUCUGUUGGAAGGGAACAGAGUUAAGAAGUGUCGAUGACUCAGUGACAGUUCUAUUGAUCUGUUUUUUUUUUUUUUUUCCUUUUGGUGAGGAUAUGAUGCAAAAUAGAUGCCUCCGCAGUGGGGGCCUUAUGGCAAUGAGAUUUACACACUGCUAUUAUUUUUAGCUUGUUUUGUGAAAUGUGAUGCUACAAUUACUAAUAAUGUUACAGAAUUCAUUUAUAGUCUGUUAGCUGAGAGCCCAGUAGAUACCACCUGAUUAAAUGUGGAAGCCAGGCCUUGCAAAUAUUUUCCAAUUUAGCUUCUAGUGCAUUUUGCAAAUAACUUGAGCAAAUUUUUUUUGCAAUUUUUUUCAAAUAUGGUUAUAUCUAUUCCAACAAAACAUGUUCUAUUCUCUCCAGGUAAAUGUCUGUGACUAUGCCAACUAAAUGCCUAAAAAAUGUAACUAGCUUUUACUUUGAGGUGAUCAUAGUAUUCCAUUGUAAUGAUUCUUAAUCUAAAAAAUAAAUUUUAAUAGCAAAAUCUUGGUCCUUUCUCUCAGGGAUUUUUUUUUUCUCACUUGACUGCUUAUUUCUCUUAAAGGAAACAACUGAACCAAAAAAAAACCUCAUAGUAAUAGUAAUUUCCCCAAUAAUAACCACCUUGAUCAAGAAGGCAAUUUUUUGCAAAUUUAACAAAGCCAACAUAUUUCAUUAAUAAGAAAAAGAAGUCUCUUUUAAGGACUCACAUUUCUUAAAAAGUAAGCUGUUUUUAUAAUUUUGACAAACUCCAUAACUUCUUUUGCUGAGCUCUGUCGUAUUUUCUGAGCUUUGUCUCUGCCUCUUCUGUGGUUCUCACCAUUGUCUGACCAAAUGAGUAGGUGACUAACUAGAAAAUCAUCAAUGUACACUUCACCAAGGCUAUUGCUUUGUGUUUCCCAUUGCAUUAGCAAAGUUUUGCCAUGAUAUUGGACAGAUAAAGACAUUUGGAAAGAGAAAAGGGUGUAUAUUCUUGGAAAUACUUCCAUUUUAUGCAUGUCUCCCAAAAAGAUACUUUAAAAAGCCAUUUCAAAUUUCCAUUACGGUGAAUUAAAUUCACACUGUCAACAGAUAUUUGUCAAACAACUACUAGAUUCACAGUGCUCUAUCAUAUCACCAGGGAUAAAAGGAUUACAAUUUAUUUACGCUUAAAAAAGUAUUCAGUGUAGUUCAGGAAACAUCAUAUAAGCAGCCUAGAGGAAGAACUCACAUGUCUAGAGCCCUUCACCUGACUUAGGCACACUAUUCUAGGUGUUGUAUAUAUGUUAUAUAUACAACAAUCCUAUGAAUUCACACUUAAUGGCUCCAUUUUCAGGAUGAAGAGCUUGGGGUUCAGAUAGCAAAAUUUAGUUCCUUCAGACCAGAGCUAAUAAGGAAGGGUAGUGAGAAUCAAAUCUGUGUGUUACUGAGGCAGACAUCAGGAUUCUCCUAUAGGCAAAUUGCCUUGGAGGUUUUGAGAAGUUAUGUUUGGCCUGGAAGAUUAAGGAUGGCUUUAACAGGACCUUGACAUAUAAAUCGUAAUGGAUAGGUAAUCAUAGCCAAGGCAAAAAGGCAGCAUUGCCAACCAGGAAAGAGAAAUGUGUGCUUAGGGAUAAAUUCUUCUUAAGUAGAACUAAUAGGUAAAUUUAGAUGGAUAGAUAGAUAUACAUAGAUGAGACAAUCUUAAAAAUGCAGAUUCAAAGCAAGGGAAUCAUGGAAUGCCUUAAAAGGUCAUAUUGCAUAUUACAAAAAGAUUCAGAAAAAAAAGAAAUAUAUAUUUUAACAUACAGAUUAUAUAAUAAAAUCUCUAACUCAUUUUUUCUUUAAUAAGUAUGCUCUGGGCAUUUUUUCCACAGAAAUCAUUCAGAAAUCAUUCACACAUUUUAUGGAUGAAUUUAUUUAACCUAUAAGCCUGUUUUAGCUAUUUGGUCUGUUCCAUUUUCCAUCUCUUUAUCAUUAAAAGCUAUGCUAAAAUCAAUAUCUAUAAUCAUAUGCUCUUUUUUUUUUUUUUAAAGAAAGCAAGCUCUACCCCCAGCAUGGGCCUUGACCUCACAACCCUGAGAUCAAUAGUCACAUGCUCUACUAACUGAGCCAGCCAGGCACCCCAAUAAUUAUGUAUUUUUAUAUAUCUUCAAUUAUUUCAUGAUAAAUUUUUAAAUUUGGAUGGCCAGGAAAAUACUAAACAUUCAAAUAAAGGGGUUUUAAUAUGUUUUAUCAAGUUAUUUGGUAGAAAGUUUCUGCUAAUUUAUAUUCCUACUUUGCCAAAUUAAUCUUCCCUAAGAAUCACUUUGAAUACCUCACUUACAUAAGUUUUGAAAAACGUUCCCUCUUUUUCUAACCUCAGUUGCUAAGAUGACUUCCAUACUCUCAGCUCCACAUGUUGAAUGCUAACAUAGCACUCUGCUCUUCGUAUCUAUUUUUCAGAUUUCUUUCAUUCAAGGGCCAGAUUUGAUUUUUCAUGAAAUCCAGACAACACAAAUUUUCCUGAUUGAUUGAUUGAUUGAUUGAUUGAUUUACUGGCUUGCUCACUCAUCCAUCCAUUCAUUUAUUCAACAAAAUUUUUGAGGAUCUAAUGUGUAUUGGAAUUACAUAUACACUCGCUGGAUUUAACACUUACACUAUACUUUGGUCAUUUUUAUUGGAAAGAUUAUGUAAAGUUUAUCCAGAGGGCUUUUUAAAGAUGCAAGUUCUAAUGUCUUUCAUAGCUUUUUUUUUUUUCAUUUUACCUCUCACACUUUAUCUAUGUGUGUAUUUGACAAAAAUAUUGAAUUUGCAUUGCAAAAACAAUCAUGUGUUUGAGAUUUUUUAUUUAAUAUUUUAAUUCAACAGUUGAUUUCCACUCAUACUGCAAUUUAUCUUUUACUAAAUGUUAAAUCUUUACUUUCCAGUUUUAAUCUCUUAAUAGUGAAUAGAAUAAAAUAGAUUUGAAUACAGUAUGAAAAGAGAAAGAAAUGAAUUGAUGUGAAUACAUAUAUUAGCUCUCUGUCUUUUUUCUCCCUUUCAAACUGAAAAUAUAUGUAUACAUGUGGGUAGGAGUUACACUAUAAAUGACCUAGUAAUAUUGGGGAUAACGUGAGUCAAAAUAUGAAAAAUAAAAAUUAUGUACUUUCAGAGACAGAAUGAUCUAGGAUUAAGUAAGAAGUAACAUACGGCUUUCUUUUGUGUUUUGCCUGCUUACAUUCUAAAAAAGAGUGAUUCAGUUCUCAUAUAUUUUAGAAAAAUAAUAUUCUAGUCAGCUAGCAUGGCCGACUCUGAGUUUUGCAUUUCCAAGGGUUACAUGGAGGGGUUGCCCACACCUGCCCCCCCCUCACCCCGAUCCACAGCACUACCAGCUACAGACAGGAAGAGGAAUUAAAAGGCUAUGUUCCGAGGCCAGAGUGUUAGAGAAGGUAAGAAUCUCAAACAUAACAAAAAUGUAAAGACAUUCAGUUGGUGAAAAUUAUUCUACAAGACUUCUGUUUAAUGAUUUCUUGGGACCACACAUCUUCACACAAUGUCAAACAGUCAAAGAGGUGUUUUCAUGCAUUUGAGGGAGAAACUAACUAAAUCUCUCCCUGAAUCCCCACAACACUACUUGUCCAGUUUAGAACCACGAUCUUCCUGGCCUCCUCCACUACUAGACCCAACUCCAGUCUGAUGAGGGCUUUUGCAGGUGGCAUUGCCCCUGACCCAGAGGCCCUUCAACAGCUGCCUCGCUCCUUUGGAGCUGCAUCAGGGUUCAGGUUUAAUCUGGAGGUGAAACAGUCACUAUCGUACAUCCAUGGCUAUGGCACAUCGGUAAACAAAGAACAUUUUGAUGGCAGGCCCUGUACUCGCAUGACAAUCUGUAGAGGUCCAUGCUCGGGUCUCUAGGAACACCAUCUGAUGCAGAGCUGCAGUCCACAGCUAGCACGGCAUAGCCAACUACUCACUUGUAAGGAUGUGGGUAAUUCCUGAUAAGUGUCCAAUCGUCAUCUUGAAAUAGGGGACAUUUGGAGCUGCACAGGCUCCUAUAGUAAAUGAUUAAUGUGUAUUUUUCUGAUCCUGACAGAUUCCAAAAGAAGAGCAGAUUGCUACCCAUAAAACUAAGCAACGUCAACGUGGAAUUACUGGAAGAAUCCGAAAGUCUUUGCAGAAAUGCUGUGCUUACUCCAAUGUUUCUCAAAAACCAGCUAUUUUAAAGGGACCAGGGUCAAUAUAAAUGAAAUAAAUGGAGGCUAAGAUAAAAUAUGUCAGAAAAUUUGCCGAAAGGUUAUUUUAAGGUGGCAUGUUAAAAACAAUAAUGGGCCAUUAGGCUGUCUUGUUAAAGGCAUUAAAGUCACAGGCACAAUGUAUGAGUCACAUGGGCAAGAUUUUCCACUUUAUAUAUAAAAACUUCAAUAUUGAAUUUCUGGUAAAAGUAAAAUGUUGCCAUUUCUGUGUAUAUUAUUAUAAGUAUUCAAAUUAAAUUGUAGGCAGAGGAGUAAGCAAAGUAGUAAUGUCUCUAGAAAUGUGUUAUCAAAAUUCUAGACAUUAUAAUUGACAUUACAAUACAGACUUUAAUGUAAUUUUUCUUUAUAAUUAAGUAGGCAUUGAAAAAAUCUUUUGGCUGAUCGUUGUGCAUGCAGGCAUACUGCUUUUUACAAGCAAGCAUCCCGUCGUCAAAGGCAUUUGUAAUUAAUUUACUUUUAAAACAAAAUUUGAGCAUCUCCAAAGACUAAGAUAAGGGACUAGAUAAUUUAAUGUUGUAUAAGAAAUGGUUACCUCACCUUUUAAUGUAGAAUUGGAGACAGAUGCUUGAUAUAUGAGGUAUACGCCCUAUAAGGAUGGCUUCGUCUAUUUUGUGCAUUGCUGAAUCUCCAGAACCCACAACAAAAUGUACCACAUAUAAGAAACUCAAGCAGAGUUUGCUAAAAGAAGGAAUUAUUAACAAAUUCUUAUUGUUUACAAAAUUACUUCAAUGAUAAAUUCUUACAACCCUUUUCUGACUAUUAUGCAUGAUUU
rnacentral:lncRNA from 1 species